AUGAACAGAAUUUAUCGCCACGCUCAACCAAACAAUGCAGCAGGCCACGAGAGAUCGGUAGGCCACGAAGUGGAAAUUCUCUGCUCCAUUCUCUACUGCUCUCAAUCUGAUCAAAUCAAGCUCAUCAGACCGACAACACAACUCAAAAGGGCACAACAAAGAGAGGAGGAAAAUGAAACGAGAGGAGGUGAGAGUACACACAGGAGAGUGAGCGAGUGAGAGAGGCAGGAGGGGGCAGAGUCAAGAGGAACAACUACAACAACAUCAAGACCGAGAGACGGAACGGAGAACGGCACCACCAACACAGACACAGCCCGACCAAAGACAGCAGCCAGCAAGCCUCAAACCUCGCAUCACCACCUCCAUCCCCGUGGCAGCAGCAGCAAGCCACCAGCCGCCGCCGCCGCAGCAGCAGCACCAGCAGCAGCGUGCCUCUCUAACCUUCCUGCCGCCGCGAGAGGAGCUCGUCCCAGCGGCAGCACGUCUCAGCAGCGGCGCCGGGAGACCAGCUGGAGAUCGGUUUCUGCAGCACCUGCCUCCUCUCCUCCUCCGCGCCAGGGGGAGCGCGCGCGUGCGCCAGCCAAGUAAUUUUUGGUGAGUGGGCUGCAUACGUAGAUAAGCAGGACUGGAGGAAGAGUACAAUAUUCUCUGGAUAUCCAGUUGUAGAUAAAUACAUUCUGGUUCAGUUGUAUUUACAUGGAAUCUCUUUUCUGAGAGAUGCCAACAUCUAAGCCACCAUCGGUGCCACCGGCACCAAGCCUGCAACCAUUACCAUCAUCUGCAGUACGACAGAACAGUCGUAUUGACCUUCGUGAGAUCAAGUCCAAGAUUGUUAAGACGAUUGGGCCAGAACGAGCAAAGAAGUACUUUCAACAUCUGGAGAGAUUCUUAUCAUCAAAAUUGAGCAAGAAUGAGUUUGAUAAGCUGUGUCUUGUGGCACUUGGCCGGGAGAACCUCCCAUUGCACAACCACCUCAUCCGUUCCAUUCUUUUCAAUGCCUCUGCAGCGAGUGGUCCACCAGCAAUUAAUGCAUCUAAGAUGGCUGAGGAUGUCACCAAUUCAGAACAUACAAUGGUUCCGCAUGUCUGGAAUGGUGACACUUUGAGCAAGCAUGUCAAAGACAAGCACUCAUUGAGCAGAAAUGCGAACACAUUAACGCAGCAUUCAUCACUGACUCAUGGUGAGACUAUCAAUAGGGAGAAUGGUGCUCCAAAUUUGAUUGGUUUGAAGAGAUAUACACAGCUUCGGCAAAGUGAGCAUGUGGAGCCAUUUACCAAGCGAUCAUGUAUGGGGAAGGCACCAUUGAAUUUUCAUGGCUCUCUACAUAGCAAUGGACCUUCUGCUAUAAAUGCUAGAGAAUCCUUGGGAGAAGAAAUUACACAACAUGCUCAAGUUCCAGUGCAAGCUCCAAUUGGGAUUCAGUUUGGCUCUGCUAAUUUUUGCAAGGCUAAAAAACCUUCAGCCAUUGCUUCUGUCAGUUCAGACAAUAGCUCUAUUUGUUGUUAUGACCUUGGUGAACUAUGUGAUACUUUGUCACUUAGAAAGAAAAUGGAAAAAACAGCACAAAUGGAAGGCUUGGAAGGGGUCUCAGUAGAGUGUGCUGAUUUGUUGAAUAAUGGAGUUGAUGUUUUCUUGAAGCAAUUGAUUGGAUCUUGUGUUGAGCUUGUUGGAGCAAGGUCUCAACAUGGUAAACUAAGCCAUGCGGCAUUGAAGCAGCAGUUGGGCCGUAAGAUAGUAAAUGGUGUAUCACUGCAAAAUCAUACCCAUGUGCAGGGUGGCAUUAUACCUCCAGGGACCAAGUCAAUCUCAAUGCAAGACUUAAAGGCAGUGUCAGAGCUAAACCCUAGUCUGCUUGGGGUCAAUGCAUCAGGGCUACUUGAAAAGAUCAAUUCACAUGACUAAUUGGAUGGAGCAAGUUGGGUUUUUCACAUUGCAAGAUUGUACCAACUUGAUGGUGUCUCUUGCUUCAUGGCCUUUGUAUUCAGGUCAUAACUUACUGAGGGUGGUGAAACCUGGAGAAGGCAGGCAGACUUUCUAGUUUGUACAGUAUGCUGAUAAUGCUGUAUCUAAUAUCCUGCACAAAUUUUGAAAUAAGCAAAGUUCUGAUUAUCUUCUAGAAGGCUAGAGGCUGUAUAAUAGACCCAUCCGUUGUCUGCAUCCAAGCACCAGUAAAGAGGCAUAAGUGCUUAACAGAACUAUGGUGCAGGGCUCCAAAUGAAUUGAUGAGCCAUGACUCUUUAUGCUGGUGUGGUUCUGCAAUUGGUACUUGGCUGUUUUCCUUGGAUGAAGUUGUAACCUGUGCUAAACUGGCCAUUUGUCAAGAACAGGAGCCUCCAGGAACCCAUGCUGAUGGCACCAAAUCUGUAAAUGGGCCAACAUCAAGGAUCUGCCAAAGUCGUGUUUUAUUGUCUGCGGCGAAUGUAUCUGGCAGAGGAUGCAAAGACGGCACAGAGCAGAAUUCGGUCGCUAUUUCCCUGGAGCUGGCUGCCUAUUGGAAAGAAGUGGAAGGGCCUCUUAUCCCCAUGGUACAGAUGAUGGGUUUUUGGUCUCUAUUUACCUCCUGACCUGACAGUUGCAAGAAAAUUGCAAUCCCAGUUGUACGUCCCGUGGAGCUUUCACAUACAGAAGAGAUGCAGUAAGAAGCCCCCCCGCCCAACGAUCAAUACUGAUACUGACUGCCGUGCAGGCGUCCUCAGAGCUGUACAAUCAUUGUAAUAUGUGUAGCAUUACUCUAGCGAAAUCAUCCGUGCAAAAAUGUGUGCCAUCAGUCAUGACCAUGCGCAACACGAGUGCGGAAAUUUCACAAAUCUAACAUGUGUGGCAUCAGUUGUGACCAUGCCUCUCAAACGGCCCUCUGUGGUAGGAAAUAUGAUGAGACGUAGUGUUUCACGAUCACGAGGAGGUUGGGCGGAAGAUGCAAGUUUCCCCAGGUUAUGUUUGGUUCUGUAGCCCUGAACUUGUAUGCUUGGGCCUCACCCCUGCGAUCAACUUUUGCUUGGAUGGAUAGAUGUUGUCGUAGAGUGUCAA